rnacentral:rRNA from 1 species
CCUACGGGUGGCAGCAGUGAGGAAUCUUGGUCAAUGGGCGUAAGCCUGAACCAGCCAAGUCGCGUGAGGGAUGAAGGUUCUAUGGAUCGUAAACCUCUUUUAUAAGGGAAUAAAGUGUGGGACGUGUCCUGUUUUGUAUGUUCCUUAUGAAUAAGGAUCGGCUAACUCCGUGCCAGCAGCCGCGGUAAUACGGAGGAUCCUAGCGUUAUCCGGAUUUAUUGGGUUUAAAGGGUGCGUCGGCGGCCUUUUAAGUCAGCGGUGAAAGUCUGUGGCUCAACCAUAGAAUUGCCGUUGAAACUGGGAGGAGGGAGUAUGUUUGAGGCAGGCGGAAUGCGUGGUGUAGCGGUGAAAUGCUUAGAUAUCACGCAGAACCCCGAUUGCGAAGGCAGCCUGCCAAGCCAUGACUGACGCUGAUGCACGAAAGCGUGGGGAUCAAACAGGAUUAGAUACCCGAGUAGUC